rnacentral:rRNA from 1 species
GUAGCAAUACCGGGUGGCGACCGGCGCACGGGUGAGUAACGCGUAUGCAACUUACCUAUCAGAGGGGGAUAACCCGGCGAAAGUCGGACUAAUACCGCAUGAAGCAGGGGCCCCGCAUGGGGAUAUUUGCUAAAGAUUCAUCGCUGAUAGAUAGGCAUGCGUUCCAUUAGGCAGUUGGCGGGGUAACGGCCCACCAAACCGACGAUGGAUAGGGGUUCUGAGAGGAAGGUCCCCCACAUUGGUACUGAGACACGGACCAAACUCCUACGGGAGGCAGCAGUGAGGAAUAUUGGUCAAUGGCCGAGAGGCUGAACCAGCCAAGUCGCGUGAGGGAUGAAGGUUCUAUGGAUCGUAAACCUCUUUUAUAAGGGAAUAAAGUGCGGGACGUGUCCCGUUUUGUAUGUACCUUAUGAAUAAGGAUCGGCUAACUCCGUGCCAGCAGCCGCGGUAAUACGGAGGAUCCGAGCGUUAUCCGGAUUUAUUGGGUUUAAAGGGUGCGUAGGCGGCCUUUUAAGUCAGCGGUGAAAGUCUGUGGCUCAACCAUAGAAUUGCCGUUGAAACUGGGAGGCUUGAGUAUGUUUGAGGCAGGCGGAAUGCGUGGUGUAGCGGCGAAAUGCAUAGAUAUCACGCAGAACCCCGAUUGCGAAGGCAGCCUGCCAAGCCAUUACUGACGCUGAUGCACGAAAGCGUGGGGAUCAAACAGG